rnacentral:rRNA from 1 species
CACGUAGGAGGCGAACGUUAUCCGGAUUUAUUGGGCGUAAAGCGCGUGUAGGUGGUUCUGUAAGUAGGGCGUGAAAGCUCCUGGCUCAACCGGGAGAGGCCGUUCUAUACUGCAGAGCUAGAGGAUGGUAGAGGGAGGUGGAAUUCCAGGUGUAGCGGUGGAAUGCGCAGAUAUCUGGAGGAACACCAGUGGCGAAGGCGGCCUCCUGGACCAUUCCUGACACUGAGACGCGAAAGCUAGGGUAGCAAACGGGAUUAGAUACCCCCGUAGUCCCU